rnacentral:rRNA from 1 species
CGUUUAGAAGCAAACGGAUGGAGCUGCAAUGCAGCACUUAGGAUUCAGCCCACUUGCAAUAUUUGUAGUGCUUCUGAUCGCUUGACAGGAUCACUGCCGCAUGACUUGCUGGUGGGUGCACUUCCUAUUUGUGAGCGCUGCGACCAGUUAUUGUGCCGCCAAAGCCAGUGAACUGCCGGCUGUUUCCUCGUGAAGCAGAGUCCCAUUUGCUGUGCUUGGCUGGUUAUGAUGACUGUGGGCCAAACGUAACGGCUUGUCGCAAUCUGCGUUGCUUCUUUGGAGAUCGAAAUUCUGGGCUCUGCUUGCAGGGUCUAGUACUCCUCUCCAUGGAUGUAGCGUUGUUUUGCAUUGUUACGACAGGUCAGCAGCGUCCGUGUCAGCCACCCAUCCGACCCGUCUUGAAACACGGACCAAGGAGUCUAACAUGUACGCAAGUCACUGACUUGAACAGUCAAAGGCGCAAUGAAAGUAAAGGUUGCUUUGGCAGCUAAAGUGGGAUCCUUGUUAAUCAAGGCGCACCACUGCCCCGUUCUAUAUGCUUUGUCAUUGGGGCGGAGGAAGAGCGCACAUGUUGGGACCCGAAAGAUGGUGAACUAUSCCUGAGCAAGGCGAAGUCAGGAGAAAUCCUGAUGGAGGCCUGUAGCGGUUCUGACGUGCAAAUCG